AACGAACGCUGGCGGCAGGCCUAACACAUGCAAGUCGAACGCUGCAGCAAUGCAGAGUGGCAGACGGGUGAGUAACGCGUGGGAACCUUCCCAGUGGUACGGAAUAGCCCAGGGAAACUUGGGGUAAUACCGUAUAAGCCCCUAGGGGGAAAGAUUUAUCGCCAUUGGAUGGGCCCGCGUCGGAUUAGCUAGUUGGUGAGGUAACGGCUCACCAAGGCAACGAUCCGUAGCUGGUUUGAGAGAAUGACCAGCCACACUGGGACUGAGACACGGCCCAGACUCCUACGGGAGGCAGCAGUGGGGAAUCUUGGACAAUGGGCGCAAGCCUGAUCCAGCCAUGCCGCGUGAGUGACGAAGGCCUUAGGGUUGUAAAGCUCUUUUUGGCGGGGACGAUAAUGACGGUACCCGCAGAAUAAGUCCCGGCUAACUUCGUGCCAGCCGCCGCGGUAAG
rnacentral:rRNA from 1 species